CCCGCCCAAACUGGCGCCUAGAUGCAGCUCGGUAAAGAGCACCAUCCGAUCAGCGGCGCCGUAGUUUGAAUGCCUUGAGGCCGGCCAGGUAGUGCUCGGAGGAUGCGAUAGGUGGUCAUUGGGUUCGAACCCGAAGUAAGGAUGGACUUACCGGACAAAAUGCGCCCGGAGUUUGCUUUUUUAUCAUUCAUCAUCAGCAUUCCCCAUCUAGAAUGGUUUGGAAUGGAAGAAGCAAACAAGUGCGCAGCUUAGGGGAAGUUUCUGCUUCAAGCGGAUUACUAUGAUACGAUGUUGCAGAUCCUCUAAUACAGUUCACCGUAGCCCCAUCUCUGGGGGAUUCCUGAUCUCCAGGAACUAGCAGUUGCUUUCCUGUCCCGUUCGAAGAUGAUAUGUGUCAGCCUGAAAGGCCUUACCGUUCUAGUACAAGGACACCACACUAGAACAGUGUACUAUACCUAUACGACAUCCCCGGUACAAAUGGAAAAGGUUUCCCCGCGUUAGCCGUGACGAGACACUGUACCAUCAGUGAGAAGAGAACGCUUGUAUAGACCUUGAAUCUAUAAACAUACUUUAUGAUCAAUGUAGACACUUUGUCAAAAUGUGUUGAGAAGAAUACUUACUACAAUAUUGUUCGAUUAGUGUUCUGCAUACCUCAUGCUUAACAUUUUCAUCCUAGUUAUACGCAUUAGCCUCUCUCCAUUCUAUCUUAUUUUGUGACCUUUGUUCGUGAAACUGUAUGUGAAUCCAAUAAAGGUAGAAGACAACGAUACUUCUAUUAAAGCUUAUUUCAAUAGAAACUAUUGAAAUAGAAUA